rnacentral:rRNA from 1 species
CAGCCGCCGCGGGAUCACGAAGGGUGCAAGCGUUACUCGGAAUUACUGGGCGUAAAGCGUGCGUAGGUGGUGGUUUAAGUCCGUUGUGAAAGCCCUGGGCUCAACCUGGGAAUUGCAGUGGAUACUGGGUCACUAGAGUGUGGUAGAGGAUAGUGGAAUUUCCGGUGUAGCAGUGAAAUGCGUAGAGAUCGGAAGGAACAUCUGUGGCGAAGGCGACUAUCUGGGCCAACACUGACACUGAGGCACGAAAGCGUGGGGAGCAAACAGGAUUAGAUACCCCCGUAGUCCCUGUCUCUUAUAC